UCGAUUUUCGCUCAUGUCGUCUCGGAUAUGGAUGAAUAUGGUAUCGAUGCAUUCAGUGUAAUGUCCUAAACCCAAACAUAUGAGAUGACAAGCGCGAAAGUGGUGGGGGUAGUUGCUGUGACGUCAUAAAGUCUAGAUCACAAAUAUAUAACAUACUGUAACAUUUUCAAUACUUGGUCUAACAAAUUAUUAGAAAACGUUCAAAAAUUUCACAAUCCACAGUUGACUUCUAACUGCUCUAAAUUGAAAAUGGCUGAAUAGAUUAGUCCAAAAUAUAUACCAAGUGACUGUGAAUAUCCUUUAAGUAAUGUUAAAAAAUAAUUAACCAGAUAUAUCAAAAAAUAAGAAAAGUACAUUAAGUUGAAA